AGGCCUGCUCAAUGAAAUUUAAAUGGCCGCAGUAUAAUGACUGUGCUAAGGUAGCAUAAUAAUUUGCCUUUUAAUUGGGGGCUGGGAUGAAAGGUUUUAUGGAAAAUAGCUGUUUUAAAGUAAAUAAUUGAAUUUAAGUUUUGCAUAAAAACUUGCAAGCACUCUUAAGGGACGAGAAGACCCUGUGGAUUUUUAUUUGUUAAAAAGUAAAUUUUAUAAUAUUUUAUUUUUUAUUCAAAUUUGGUUGGGAUGACAGUAAAAUUAACUUUAUUAAAAAGAUAAUAUAGAUCCUUGUUAAGGAAAAAAGAAUAAAUUACCCCAGGGAUAACAGCGUAAUACUUUUGGACAGGACAAAUGGAUAAAAGUGUUUGCGACCUCGAUGUUGAAUUAAAAUGUCUUUAUUAAGCAUAAAUAAUAAAAGUAAGUCUGUUCGA
rnacentral:rRNA from 1 species